UACGAAGGGGGCUAGCGUUGUUCGGAAUUACUGGGCGUAAAGCGUGCGCAGGCGGCUGCUCAAGUCAGGGGUGAAAGCCCAGAGCUCAACUCUGGAAUUGCCUUUGAGACUGAGUGGCUUGAGUACGGGAGAGGUGAGUGGAAUUCCCAGUGUAGAGGUGAAAUUCGUAGAUAUUAGGAAGAACACCAGUGGCGAAGGCGGCUUACUGGUCCGGAACUGACGCUGAGGUGCGAAAGCGUGGGGAGCAAACAGG
rnacentral:rRNA from 1 species